GACGAACGCUGGCGGCGUGCUUAACACAUGCAAGUCGAACGAUGAAGCCCAGCUUGCUGGGUGGAUUAGUGGCGAACGGGUGAGUAACACGUGGGCAACCUGCCCCAAACUCUGGGAUAACUCCUCGAAAGAGGUGCUAAUACCGGAUACGAACUAGGUAGACAUCUGCACUAGUUGGAAAGUUUUUCGGUUUGGGAUGGGCCCGCGGCCUAUCAGCUUGUUGGUGAGGUAACGGCUCACCAAGGCUACGACGGGUAACCGGCCUGAGAGGGCGACCGGUCACACGGGGACUGAGACACGGCCCAGACUCCUACGGGAGGCAGCAGUGGGGAAUAUUGCGCAAUGGGCGAAAGCCUGACGCAGCGACGCCGCGUGAGGGAUGAAGGUCUUCGGAUCGUAAACCUCUUUCAGUAGGGACGAAGCGAAAGUGACGGUACCUGAAGAAGAAGCACCGGCUAACUACGUGCCAGCAGCCGCCGUAA
rnacentral:rRNA from 1 species